GGGGGGAGGCCGGAUUCCGGGCUGUGUCCCCGGCGCCCUGUGCUCCCGGCCCUGCGUUGUUGGAUUCGUGCUCCCGGCCGCGUAGCCGCCU
rnacentral:pre_miRNA from 1 species